rnacentral:rRNA from 1 species
AUUGAACGCUGGCGGCAUGCCUUACACAUGCAAGUUGAACGGUAACAGGUCUUCGGAUGCUGACGAGUGGCGAACGGGUGAGUAAUACAUCGGAACGUGCCUAGUAGUGGGGGAUAACUACUCGAAAGAGUGGCUAAUACCGCAUGAGAUCUACGGAUGAAAGCAGGGGAUAGCAAGACCUUGUGCUACUAGAGCGGCCGAUGGCAGAUUAGGUAGUUGGUGGGAUAAAAGCUUACCAAGCCGACGAUCUGUAGCUGGUCUGAGAGGACGAUCAGCCACACUGGGACUGAGACACGGCCCAGACUCCUACGGGAGGCAGCAGUGGGGAAUUUUGGACAAUGGGCGCAAGCCUGAUCCAGCAAUGCCGCGUGCAGGAUGAAGGCCUUCGGGUUGUAAACUGCUUUUGUCAGGGAAGAAAUCCUCUAGGUUAAUACCCUUGGGGGGAUGACGGUACCUGAAGAAUAAGCACCGGCUAACUACGUGCCAGCAGCCGCGGUAACAC